rnacentral:rRNA from 1 species
UCUGGUAAUAAUGGCAGAGAGGUCACACCCGUUCCCAUACCGAACACGGAAGUUAAGCUCUCUAGCGCCGAUGGUAGUUGGGACCUUGUCCCUGUGAGAG